rnacentral:rRNA from 1 species
UACGGAGGGUGCAAACGUUGCUCGGAAUCAUUGGGCGUAAAGCGCACGUAGGCGGCCUGACAAGUCGGGUGUGAAAGCCCUCGGCUUAACCGAGGAAGUGCAUUCGAAACUAUCAGGCUUGAAUACUGAAGAGGGUCUCGGAAUUCCCGGUGUAGAGGUGAAAUUCGUAGAUAUCGGGAGGAACACCAGUGGCGAAGGCGGCUUUCUGGACAUUUACUGACGCUGAGACGCGAAAGCGUGGGGAGCAAACAGG